AGCGGCGGCGAAACGAAAAG
rnacentral:sRNA from 1 species